AGCAGUAGCCGCGGUAAUACAGAGGGUGCGAGCGUUAAUCGGAUUUACUGGGCGUAAAGCGUGCGUAGGCGGCUAAUUGAGUCGGAUGUGAAAUCCCCGAGCUUAACUUGGGAAUUGCAUUUGAUACUGGUUAGCUAGAGUGUGGGAGAGGAUGGUAGAAUUCCAGGUGUAGCGGUGAAAUGCGUAGAGAUCUGGAGGAAUACCGAUGGCGAAGGCAGCCAUCUGGCCUAACACUGACGCUGAGGUACGAAAGCAUGGGGAGCAAACAGGAUUAGAUACCCCUGUAGUCCCUGUCUCUUAUAC
rnacentral:rRNA from 1 species